rnacentral:lncRNA from 1 species
UGUAAUGUGUUUUGUUUUUCAUAUCGUGACAUGGAUGAAUUUGAUGUGAUAUUUCUCUAGCACGUAUCUAUCUGGUUUGAUUUAUUUUCGAUAGGUGAUGAUUACAAGGAUGUUAGCCAUACUUGGUUUAUUUUGUCCUGAACUUUGGCUGUAGGACGUUCGCCACACUGUUCUUGGCGUACUAUUGCUCGUCCACUACGCCAGAGUCGUCCAUAGGUCGUGUCUUUCAAAAAAAAAGUCUGCACAACUGAUACAAAUACCCAAUCGAUCCCCUUCCUUAUUCUCAUUUUGGCUGUUGAACAUAUGGCAUGUAAAUAUGCAAUCCCCU